AGUAGGACCUGGGUAUAACCAGAGCCCCACUGAUCAAGCACCCAGACUGGGUAGAAUGCUGCUCACAUAUUCAGGAGUCAUAGCAGGUGAAAUGCAGCAAAGGCAGGGAUUGCUUGUUUCCCAGGUUUAUAGCUCCAUAUCACCUGAUCCUGAUUCCUCCCAGCAAGAAGGAUCCUGCUUCUGAAGGACAUUUUAUUGGUGCCGUGACUCAAAUUGGGCUUGGUCCUGGAUGAUUGAAGGUUCCUAGGGCUCCCUUAACCCGAUGAUCACUGCCAUCUGUAAACAGGAGCCACAGCAUCUUACGAGGUCCAAGCCAUCAGAUGACUCCAGUUCCUCAAAGCCCGAAGAAAUGCAGUCUUAAUCAGCCACUCCAGGACACCGGUGGACGGAAUGUGACCAGACAGGAUGCAUCAGACACCCCAAACCACUCGAUGCCCACGAAGUCAGCAGGAAGCAAUUAUGGGGGACCUGGCUGCGCCUCCAUUCCCUACGCAUUAAGAACCUUAAUUCCCCCCCCCUGAAAUUUUUAUAAUAAACAGAGGAGUGAAAUGUAAUUCCUUUAGCAAUAUGUAACGCUGCACUUCCAGGUUCUGAAGCCGGUGCAUGUACCCCCUGUGCACAUGUGUGGGUCACCUGCCAUCUGUGUCACCAGCAUCUGACGUAGAGGCCCCCAUCAGCAGGCACAAGGCAAAGCAUUGCUCGUCAUCAGCGUGUGAAGUGGGCACGUCUUCAUGCCUGAGUCGCUCUCCAUCUGCCUCACCAGCAUCUGACGUAGAAGCCCCUGUGAGCAGGCGCAGGGCGUAGCAUCAGCCAUCAUCAACAUCUUUCCCCUCAUGCGCAUGUGCUAGGAAACCUUUAAAAGCUAAAAGCACCAUUCCCACGGCCUCUUUCACCCGAUCUGUUCACCACUCCCCGAGCUCCUCGGCACAGAUCUUCUUA